AUGCGAGGAAGAAGGGGCCGGCCUUCGAGCGACAGCGGCGCAAGAUGGCAGCCACCACGGGUUCGGACAAUUUAUGAAAACCGAAUAUACAGCCUUAAAAUAGAAUGUGGACCUAAAUACCCAGAAGCACCCCCCUUUGUAAGAUUUGUAACAAAAAUUAAUAUGAAUGGAGUUAACAGUUCUAAUGGAGUGGUGGACCCAAGAGCCAUAUCAGUGCUAGCAAAGUGGCAGAAUUCAUAUAGCAUCAAAGUUGUUCUGCAAGAACUGCGGAGCUUAAUGAUGUCUAAAGAAAAUAUGAAACUMCCCCGGCCUCCGGAAGGACAGUGUUACAGCAAUUAA